GUGGGGAAUCUUGCGCAAUGGGCGAAAGCCUGACGCAGCCAUGCCGCGUGAAUGAUGAAGGUCUUAGGAUUGUAAAAUUCUUUCACCGGGGACGAUAAUGACGGUACCCGGAGAAGAAGCCCCGGCUAACUUCGUGCCAGCAGCCGCGGUAAUACGAAGGGGGCUAGCGUUGCUCGGAAUUACUGGGCGUAAAGGGCGCGUAGGCGGACAGUUUAGUCAGAGGUGAAACCCCAGGGCUCAACCUUGGAAUUGCCUUUGAUACUGGCUGUCUUGAGUUUGGGAGAGGUGAGUGGAACUCCGAGUGUAGAGGUGAAAUUCGUAGAGAUUCGGAAGAACACCAGUGGCGAAGGCGACUCACUGGCCCAAUACUGACGCUGAGGCGCGAAAGCGUGGGGAGCAAACAGGAUUAGAUACCCGGGUAGUCC
rnacentral:rRNA from 1 species